rnacentral:lncRNA from 1 species
GAAGACACAGGACAUGGUCUGACCAAUUGUUCCAUGGUAGCAAAUAGAGACUCGAUUUCUGUAAUUGUUUCUGAAGUUUCUCUCGAGGAAGUGUGAGAUGCGAGCUUCUGAGUGGAGGUUUCAUUGGUUGAAGAUGCAGAAGUUGAUGCAACAGAUUGUUCUGCAGCACUGGGAGGAGAUACAAGAACAAUGUUUUUUUGCUGACUUGAAGAAGCAGUCAUAAAUUGGUCUUGUGGAAAUUCCUUCUGUAGUAAUUUCAGUUUUUCUUUAAGUAUCAUCUAAGAACAAAAGACGGUGCUUGAAUGGUUUAAUUUGAAAUAGAGAAUUACCUCAUCAGUUGCUUGAGAAUCAUUUUGAACUUGCUGAGAGAUGGGAGCUUCAAUGUCAAUGGGAGCUAGGGGAAUCUGACCUUGUUCACGAUCCUCCUGCAUUCAGGAUGUGGCAAGCUUUUCAAAAUCAUGUCAGGAACAGUGCAACUAAAAAGAAGAGACAGCUACCUUAUCAUUCAAAGUUGCCUGGGAAUCUUGGUAUAUUGAGGUCACUUGAGGGCCUGGUUUCAUCAAUCCAUUUCUCAUGGCCUGUUCCUUGAUAACAAGAUUAGUGCUUGUUUCGAUGACAGGAUGGGAAGCUUUUCCAGCAUCUGGAUUCUCAUUCACGUGCAAAUUCUCAGAAGCUGGUCCUUCAGAGACAGCAUACAUUUGAUUUUUAUGUGCUGCAGUUGUCUCACGGGCUAAGCUGGGCUGCCUAGAUGAGCUUGGCAAUUUGGACUGUGCCAUGCCAUAACCCAGCAAAUGAAAUUGAGUUGGAAAUGAGUCAACUAAAGAAUUAGAGGUCACUACACAAAGAGGAUUUGAAUGGAUAGAGGAGCUUUUUGUUGACUCCCUAUGUGAAGCUGUAUCGUUACAUUACUUAAGAGUCACAGUAUGGUGAAAGCAGUAGAAAUUUAACAAGAUUAUUCGUUAGUUUUAUGUUGGCAGAGUAGCUAGACAUUAGUUGCUCAUGUUUUCUGGAUCCAGGAGAAAAGGAAAACAAAAUCUGGACUAGGCAACUAAAUUUGGCAAAAGAAUUCAUACCUUCUUCACGAACAAGUUAUGUAUAGUCAAAUUAAGGUCAUCCUUCCAGAAUCCUGUGCUGUCUCCUUCUGUUAAUUGUACUCUCUCUAGCUUUGGGGUGUUUAUGACUCCCCGGGAAAACAAUUCCAUCUUCGGGCACUGAUCUAUGAAUACUCUCUCCAAUGAAGGAAACAUCAAUGCACAGUUUUGCAUGUAGAAGCUUGUGAGGCUUGGUAAGCAGUGAAAUGCCAAAUUUUCCAAUUUAUGAAAAACAAUCUCAUUUUCUGCUUCAUUUUCGUUGUUUGCAACUACUACUUCAAUCGUUUCACAUUCGACUACACUCAUGCUAGUGAGUUGCACAAGAUUUUUAGCUGUUGAUGAAGACAUCAAACUUGCUAGCCCAUUACAUUUUGAGACUUCCAAAGUCAUCAGGCAUCGGAAAGAUACCGACAUUGGAAUUAAAGUUUUCAGUGUGCCACAUUCAGAUACUCGAAGAAUUUCUAGAUUUUGGAAAAUUUGACAUGCCUGCGAGCUUUCUUUCGACAGAUGCAUGAGUUCCGGCAGCUUAGACAGCUCCAAUACUCUUAGCUGAGCAAAGACCUGGUUCGGCCUGCUACUCAUCUCUUCAAGCCGGACUAUUUCUUUGAAAGAAGCAUCACACACGACAAGGCUCUCUAAAAUGUUGAAUCUCUGAAGGAACCAGGAUGGAAAAUCAACACAAUCAAUGGGAAAGUGGACGAGUUCAAGAACCUUUAGUCGGCAGAAGAACUCGGUCCGAAAUUGGCCACACUGUGUCACCUCCAUGAUAGCAUUCCAAUCCACUCUCAAUUUCUUCAAUUCUGGAAAUGCAACCUGCAAACCAAUCGAAGACAUAAGAAAGUAGGAUCUUCUUUAAUGUACAGGAUGUUAUUGCCUAAACUGGCAGGCUCCCACCACCAACCAUUACCAUCAUUUAAUUCAAGUCAACUUGUGUAUAUUGCAAAAACAAAAGAAGAACUCAUGAAUAUGUUAUAUUUCAUAUUCUCCCAGAAUGGAAACCUGAAUAAUUGAUUCAGCACCAUGGUUAGAAGAGUGAGUAAUUUUUAGUUGGUUACUGUUCCAGGAUUAUGAGUUUCAACAUCUUACAUAUAUAUCUAUCCUUUGAUGGUUACAUCCAUAUUAUUUACAUUAUUCUACCAAUGUUUUGCUUUCAGAAUGAUUUAAUAUAUAACCAGAAAAACAGAGUCACUAUAGUAUGUAUUAACAAAUACUCUAAAACGCGUUGGGAAAAAUAUUGUUUCUCAUGUGUUUUUUUUUUUGUUGUUUUGUUUUUUUUUUUUGUUUUUUUUUUUUUUGUGUUUUGUCUUUUUUUUGUUUAUUUUCUUUUUUUUUCCCCACAUUUUUUUUGUUUUUUCAACCUCAUUUAAUAUUAAUGAAGAAAUUAUUAAAAGCAAAUUGAACCAAUACAUAAUUAUUUAUUUGUAAAACAAUCAAUAAUAUAUUAUUGUAAAAAAAUCAUAACAUUCUUAAAAAUAGUGACAUAAUAUUUUAAUUAGGAGCACAUUUCUCAAUAAAAAGCAAACAAUUAAAAUAAAGGUCCGUAAAAAAAUCUCAACCGUUGAAAUAAGUAGGAAAAAAAAGCAUUUCUCCCAUCUAAACUCUAUUUUUUAAUCAAUGCAUCCCUUGAUUGCUUUAUCAAAGAUAUGUUUUUUUUUAUUGCAAACAUUUUUUUUUUUACAAAAACUAUCAUGAUCUUAAAACAAGUUUUAAAAUAAUAUCUUAAUACUUUGCAUGUGAUUGAUGGAAAAAAUAAAAUAAAUAAUAACAAAUAAUAUGAUAAAAUCAUGUCAAGAAUAUAUGUAAAAAAAGUUUAAAAUAUUUUUUUAAUUAAAUUUUCUUGAGAUAUUUUUAUUUAUUUCAUAUUAGACACAUAAUAAUUGGAAAAAAAAAGAGAUAACAUUUCCAUUAAAACCUAUAAUAUUAUUUAAUAUUUUUCCUUUUUAGGCCAGAUUUAGGUUCAUGUACAAUGAAAAAAAGAAAAAAAAAAGACAUUGAAUUUUUAUUUAAUUGUGAAAUUCGGUCCUCAAAAUCAAUUAUUUUUAACUAAUAUAAUUGAUUAAUUCAACAUCACUUUUUUGAUUUUUAGAGAAUCUCAUGCAAAAUAAAUCAUCAAAUCUAAUCUCAAAUUAAUUUAAAACAUUUCCAUAAUAUCCCAUAGAAUUUAAUUUAAUUUUAUUUUUAUAUCAAAUUUAAUUUUUAUUUUCUUGAUUAAUAUUUAUUUUUAUCUUGUUAACAUCUAUAACAUGGGGAAUUGGUGAAAGAGGCUUGAGUAGACAAACUGACCUUAUAGGUGAGAAGUGCAGUGAAAUUAUAAUUGUCUCCCUGACCUUGCCUCUGCUCUUUUCCUUUAUCAACUGAAUUAGGCUCCGGUUCCUCUAUAAGGGAGGAGAUGAAGAUCUUCAUAUUUGGACAAUCAUCUAUGCAAAUCUCUUCUAACGAUGUAAGAUUCAGAACACCACUUCCUGAGUAGAUAUUGCUUAACUCAGGUAAAGACUCGAGAAUGAUCACUUUUAGUACAGGAAAUAUGAUUUUAUCCAUUGCUUCUUCUUCCCCUGCUCUCUCCUUGGUGAUGAUUUCUUCCAUCUUGUCACAGUUUCUUAUUACAAUUUUCUGGAGAUGCACAAGGCUCAAUGCCAUCGAUGGUGUAAAUAUAUUUCUCAAGCUGCUACAGUCAUGAACUUCUAGAAAAUUAAGGUUUCUGAAUUCCAGAAUUCCUUGAGGAUCUGUGUUACAUAUAUGUCUCAACCUUGAUAAACCAAUCAAGUUCAAUUCAUAUAAAAGGGGUAACCAAACCCUCCCUUCCUCUGGACUAAUACCUUUCAAAUCAAAUACCCCUUCUAGUAAAUCACAGUUUCUCACUUGCAGUUCCUGCAAAUCGUUCAUAAACUGUAGCAGAGUGGAAGGUAAAGCAUCGAGCGAAUAACAGUAUUCAUCCACCGUGAGGUUUGUUAAAUUUCUGAAGAAGUUGAAAGGAAGUUGGCAUUGCCAUCUCUCUUUCAAUUGAGGAAAGUCAGAUACCUUUAGCCUCUUUACACCAUCAAAUCCAACCUGCUCCAAUCCAAAUUAUUGCAUUAGUUAAAAAAAAGAAGAAGCUAAAUUGCUGAAGCACCUACUCAUUCCUAGAAGAAAAGGAAAAAUGAAUAUUUGAAUUAUUAUGAAAGAGGGGCAAGAAUCAAGCCAUGCUCAUAAUACAGGAGUUAUUGAUACAUACCAUUUCUGUGUAUAAGUGUUGUAUGGUAAUAUCAAGAUUACCAUGCCAAUGCACUCUAUUCUUAGAAUACCUUUUCCAGUGUACUCCCCGCAGCUUUGGCGUGCUUAACACUCCUGGAGAGAAAAUUCUCAUAUUAGGACAUUCUUCGACAACCAUUUCUUUCAAUGAUGGAAAUCUGAAGGCAUAAUUUCCAAAGCAGAAGCUUGUGAGAUUCUGUAAAUCUAGAAGUUCCAAAUAUUCUAGUUUGCUGAAAAUGAUCUCAUCAUCUGCUUCAUCUCCUCCCUGUCUUGCCACCACUACUGUCACUUUUUUGCAAUGAGCUAUGGUCAACUUAACAAGUUGCACAAGACUUUUAGCCGUUGAUGAUGUAAACAAGUUCAAUAAUCCAAGGCAAGACUGUAUAUCCAGAGUUGUUAAAUUUUGAAAACACACAUAAGAUGGUGCUAAACUGACCAAACUGUGACAAUCCUCUACUUGGAGAGUCUUAAGAUUGUGAAGAAUGGGAGCUAGCAGGUGGUCUUGCUUCCAUAUAUGUUUUAUAUCAUGAACUGCAUGUAUUGUUAAAUUUUUUAAUCGUGCAAGUGCACGUCUCUCUUCACCAACAACUUCUCUGAUCGAUGGUAGCUUUUUGAAUGAACUAUGCCCUUUGUACAGGAAUAGCUUUUUGAAAGAACUAUGUGUCACGGAUAGUGUUUCAAGAUUCCGUAAUCUUUGCAGGAAACCAAAUGAGAUAGGAUCUGAUUUAACACCAAAAUCGUGUAACUUUAGAACUUUCAAUGAGGAAUAGCACUCUAUUGGAAGUUGGUGAUGCCAAAUGAUUGAAGCAGUUGUGUUCUUGCCACCUAAUGACAAUUCCUCCAGGUUGGAGAUCACCUGCAACACACUCAAACAAAAGCAAAGUGGGAGUUGAUAUUUUGUCCAAAUAAAAGUAAUUUCACCUGCAUUAAUUUACACAAUGGGAAAGAGAAAAAAAAGGAAAAUUAAGCGCUCAUGUACCAAUUUAGUAUCUAAUCAGCAAAAAAUGCACUGAAGGGUCUGAUCCCAUGAGGGACCUGAUUCAUUUUACCUCUUUUAAGGGUGAAAAGAACCAUCUGACAUGAUAUUAGUUAUUCCAUCUAAACCAAAAUUUCUCUAUAUUUCUUGUAGAAACUUGUUGGAAGUUGAGUUACUAACCAGCAACAAGGAAAAACAAAUAAAGUAAAAAAGGGAAGAGAAGUUAGUGCUAUGCUAUAUCAUAUUUCUAUCAAAGUUUUACUUGAUUUCAUUCCAAGUGCAUUUGGCGCAGAGUCUAGACUGUUCCGACGAUAUUCAUGGCCAUUGGAACAGCCUUUCAAUGAGAAGCAGAUGUUUGAUAUUAUGCAGCCAAUAACUAGGAACAUAUUGCUUUGCACAGUGAAGUUUGGAAAAGAAAAGGAAAAGCUUUGUGCAGAGAAACGUUCAUUUUUCAUAUUUUUUUCUCAAAUCCAGGAACUGACCCUUAAACUAUCACUUCCAAUGAAUAUGAUGGUAAUACAAUUGAAAUAUGUUGAGGCAUGAAAGUAUCACAGGUUUUUGAAUACCUCAGAGAAGAAGUGAAAGGAAAACAGAGGGCAUAAUUUAGAUUCAUACCUUUUCAACGAAGAAGAGAGGUUGUUGAGCCGGGAUACCAAGUUGGACUUCCCCCUGAGUUUCUUGAGAUUUAAGAAAUUUGGAGCCGAAUAAUGCUACAUUGCAGCAAUCAGACACCGCCAACCUUUUUAACAUGGGAGAUUUCCAAGUAUGUUUCCCUGGAUAUAAGUUCCUGAAUUCUGGUAAUUCUUGAAGUUUCAAUGAGGUUAGCUGCGGAAACACAAAACAAUGGGCUGCUUCACCAUCGUCCACCUUCACAAUAAUUUCCUCCAGUUUCCCACAAUGCUCUAUCUUGAGUUUUUCGAGUUGCACAAGUUCUCUAGCUAUAGAGAAGGGAAACAGAUUCUUCAAUACAUUACAAUCAGAAACCUUUAAUGCAUGUAGAUUUUGGAAGCUGAGUAUUCCUUGAGGAUCUUUAUUCCAUAUAUGCUUCAGUUUGCCUAGUCCAAUCAAGGACAAGUCUCUUAACUGAAGGGAACCAGAUGCACCAGUUUCUUGAAGGUCAAAGAUCUCUUCUAAGAAAGGACAAUGACGGAUAUCCAACAUCUCUACCAUCCGGAAUGUUUCUAGCAAAAUUGAUGGGAAAACCCUCACUAGCCUUUUACAGCUAGAAAUUGUUACUGAUCGUAGUUGACAAAAGGAAUCUUCAGCUAGUUGGUUGUGCCACAUCUUUUCCAAGUUCUCUAUGUGGGAAAUUUUGAUUUCAGCUAGGCUAGGGAAUGCAACCUGCAAGGUCCAUCUGUCUUUGUUAAGCACAAUAAACAUGCCUGUAAUAAUAAAUAGAACAUAUACGAAAGAUCUAUAUAUGAAGAAGGUAAACAAGGUGAAGACGAACCAAAUUUCUUAUAUCAGUUGAUCCUAUAUAUGAAUUUGAUUUAAGAAAAUCAAAACUAUGUAUUAAAUGGAAAUCAAAUGGAUAAGUAGUCAUAUGGAAAAAAAUUGCUGAUUAAACCAUAAAACUAAGAACCUUUUUUAAAGAAAAUUGGGCAUCAAAUUAAAAUGUAAAAGAAUAGAUAAAAAAUGGUCAAUUAAAAGUAUUACCCUGCAAAAAAUUGUCCUUCUGAUUAAAGAAGAGAAAGGCUUACACUUUACAGCUUCGGUGGUCUAUCAGUCCUUUUAGACUUCAAAAAUUUGACAUUUUAAUUAACCUUUAUGAAGACCGAUCACAGGUAAAUUAAUAUAAAAAUAACAGAAAUUUUGGUUGACUUAUUUUAGAUUUGUAACACUAUCUUGAAAUUUUUCCUUAAAAUUCAUAAAGCUUUAUGUUCUUUCAUAUUCUUUUCAAUAGUACUGAAGAGAGGGAUUACGACCUCGAUCACCUUUCAGAAUCUGAAAUGAUUCGAGCUUUGAUAUAUGAAGUGAAAGAAGGAAGGGCGAAAGAGGAGAAUAGAAGAAGAGGUCACCUUUUCAUCAAAGAGAGGCUGAACGGCAUUGUGGUCACUCUCCCUUGAAUGCAAUUCUCCAGGUUCAAUGUCAACUGUCAUGUUCGCGCUAUCGGGACAGGAGAUGAAUGUCUUAAAUUCAGGGCAAUAACAAAUGUACAGUUGUUUCAACACUUUACACUUGAUCAGCGAGCCAGCACAGAACCAUGUGAGUCUUGGAAGAUCAGAGAGCUCAACAUCUUCCAGUUUAUCAAAGCACAUCUCGCUCAUCAUUUCUCCUUCUUCCACUCCUUCUACAGAUAUUAUCUCUUCCAUGGACUUGCAAUUACGUACAGUAAGAUACUUGAGUUGCACAAGACUUUUAACCAUGGAAGGAGAAAACAGAUAUUUCAGGCUGUGGCAAUCAUCCACAUAUAAUGUCUGUAAAUUUUGAACAGGAAAUGUAUUUUCCCGAUGAAGCUGGCCAUGCCAUAUCUUUUCAACGUUGAUAGAGACCAAUUCCAACUUCUUCAGUUUCGGGAUAAGAAUCUGCAUGUAAUAUUUUUGUUUUAUUAAGGACAUUAUUCUCAAAGUCAAGGACGAGUUUGUUUGGCAAUAUGGUUGUGGGUGCUUUUCAAAUAACUUUUCGUGCUAAAAUACAUACCAAUGAUGUUUUUUUAUUUUUUAAAAAUUAUUUUUGACAUCAGCACAUCAAAACGAUCCAAAACAUAUAAAUUAUAUUAAAUUUUAACAAAAAAAAAUUUCAAAUCUUUUGAGAACGCAGGUUGAACCGCGUUUCCCAAACGUUCCCGAAAUAGUUUCGUCUAUAGGAAGAAGGUACCAUGGAUUGAAGUAUUAAACUGCAAACAAUAUCAUUACUGAAAACCUUGAACAACAGCCAUAAUUUUAUCACUAGAAAUUUCUAUCAAUUGGCAAUUGUACGAGCUUUUUUAGUUUCUUAUCCACUAUUUAAACAUCCAACCAAUCUAAAAACCUAAAUUUAUAAAGAAGGUAUAUUAUACAUAGUUGAAUGAAAAUUAUGUAGCUACCUUUUCACAGAAAAGCUGGAGAGGAUUUCUCGGCUCAUCCUCUGAAAUUUCUUUAGAUUGCAAUCCCACGCUAGUUGCCACUGGAUUCAGUUGAGCUUGACAGAGUCGAGAUGUCUUCUCUCUGGAGCAAAAGUUUUUGAGAUGCGGCAAACACCGAAGCGAUAGUGAGCUCAAUUGAUUGAACUCCAUCACAUCAAUUUCUGUACAAGAGUCUUCAAAUUCAUCACCUUCCUCAGCAACAAUCUCUUCCAUGGUUAGGCAAAACGAAAUAUUGAUGGUUUGAAGUUGCGAAAGUCCUCGUGCAAUGGAGAAUGGGAAGAGAUGCUUCAAUUUAACACAGUUCCCCACUUCUAUGAUUGUUAGUUUCCUGAAAGACUCUGCUGUGAGAAUGCCAUGGCAAAGUUUCUCCAAGGAUACCAAAUUGUAGAGAAACAAAGACUCCAACACAGGGAAGACAUGAGAAGGAACCUCGCUGCUAGUGUUAAUAAUAUAUUGAAUAUCAGAACUAUUGUGGAGAUGGAGGUGCCGCAGUUGUAGAAAUCCUUCCGUGUCUAGUUCAGAGACGACAUUAUUAACACCCUUUAGUUCAAGUAAAUACAAAUCUUGAGUUCUCUUCAACAACAUUAGAACACCAUGCUCCAAAUUACUGGCGCUUGUGUUGAGCCUGAGCUUCAAUGUUCUCAAGCUCUGAUAAACACCAUCCCAAUCCCAGACAUCUCCAAUAAAGAUUCUGAAUCUUUCUAAUCUUUUAGAGAGCAUGCCUUUUGACAUAACAUGAGAAUCUAGAACAUGUAUGUCCACAUUUGUCAAGUGAGGCAAAUGAUCCAACUCAACAAGACUGGCAUUGUCCUCCCCUUCAGUAGCCCAAUGAUGGAAGCUGUUUCCCAUACACAAUUCUUCUAGCAUGGACAAGUUUGAGAGGAUAUUUGGUGGAAUUACUUCAAGUUCAAAACAAUCACUCAAAUCCAACAUUCUCAGCUCAGUCAACUGCCCUAUUUGUCUUGGCAAAUGCUUAAUAUUAGAUUUGGCAAAGCUGAGAAUUUCCAAUUUCUUCAGCUCCCCAAUGCCAGCUAUCUCUUCCAAUGAAGAUUGAUGAAGACACAAAGUUCGAAGGUUUUUUAGGAAAUGAAGAGGUGAAGGCAAAGACACAAGAGAAAUGUUAGUCAAUACUAAGACUUUCAAUUUGUGCAUUCCUCUACAUAUGUUGCUACUUAUUUCUAGAGAAGGAUCCUCACUCCUUACAUGUAAAAAUUUAAGUUGUGGGUACUCCAUCUCUCUAAGAAGCUCGAUAUUUGAACUUAACCAAAUUUCUUUAUACUUCUUUAACAUAUUCUUAGCAGACCAUUUUGGUUCAACCUCAUCACCCCCAACAAAUACGUGGCAGUCUCUAAAAGCAAUUGAUAUAGCAACAUCACGCACAGCAUCAUGCAUAGAAAAUUGCCAAUCGCUAUGAUUUUCUAGCAACAAUCCAGAGGCCUUGAGUUUAUGAACCAACGAAUGCACUCUGUCUUGUGCUUCUUCAACUGUAACAAAGCCAGAAAACAAGCCCAAACCCAUACCAUAUUUCAACAAGUCGCGAGUGGAUGCAUUAUAACCCAUUCGACUACAAAGAAGGAAAGUUGAUUUUAACUCCUUACUUUCAAGAUGAUUAUAACUUAGUUCUAUAGCCGCAUACACAUCUUCCUGCACUCCUGCGAAGUUUCUUGGAGAUGGUCUCUUUAGUUCCCGUAAUGCAUUCUUCCACUGGGACAAGUUCUUGUUCUUCAGAGCUCUUGCAACAGUUACAAUGGCCACCGGUAAACCUGCACACAUUUUGGCCACCUCAAUUGCCAAGGAUUGCAAAUCUGGAUGUUCAACGUGAUCUCCUGCUAAGUAGUAAUAUAGGUUACUGUUAGCUUUUCUCUGGUUCAUGGAAGCAGUUGCUUAUACUCACUAGAAAACAAAUGAUUAACAUUUUAGAUUUUUGUAUUUGCGUGUCUACUAGGUAGUGAUAUAUGGUAUUGAUAGAUGAAAAAAAAAUUAAUCACCUGCCAUCUUUUUGAACAACUCCCACGUUUCUUCUUCAGAUAAAGCAUUGAUGGGAAAGUUCUUUUGAAUAUCCAUUCCACAAGAUAAAACAUCAAAUUCCCUCGAUGUCACCAGCAUCUUGCAUCCUUCGUGUUCAUCCUUGAGUGGAAUCCCAACUGCUUCUAAAUCAAGACUCUUCCACAAAUCGUCUAGAAUAAUAAGAAUUUUCUGCUCUUGUUUCAACCUCUGGCGCAAUCGACCAGCUCUUCCACAUUCACUUUCCUCAUCAAAUUUUAGAGAAAGCUGGUCUGCAAUCUGCCCUUGAAUUUUCUUGAUGUCUUGGGUUUGGGUUAUAGUGGCAAACACUACCUGGUUAAAUAAUUUCUCCUGAAUGGCUUGUCUAGCAGCCUCUUUUACCAGCGUUGUCUUCCCCAUACCACCCAUUCCAUACACCCCAACCAUGUUCACAUCAGCAGUUGUUAAGGCAUUCAUAAUUUCCUUCAAAACGGGUGUUCUUGAUGGCAUGGCGUCAUAACUUCUGAAAGUUAUAGCUUCCAUCCCUUUUGGAGCAGCUCGACGGGAAACUGUGCUGAAACCAUCUCUUUCAUCCAGGAGGCUGGCAACAAAGCGUGUUUCCGCCUUUGCUUUCUUGCUACACUGGUAUCGUGCCUUGAGAUCCGGACACAAUCCGAUGAAGCACUUCUUUCUCGCUCUAUCUUCAUCUUCCAAAAUCUCCCUUUCCACUUUUUCUGAAGCUUCUUCCACAAGAGAUAGCCACUUUAUAACAUCCUCAAGAAUUGCUUCCCCAUUGUUUCUGGCAUCGUCAACUAAAUGCUGCACCCUCAGCUGGGCACUUUUCAACUUCUUGACUUCCCUCUUCAGAUUUUCAAAGUUGUGAUUGUAUUUGAAACAAUAAUUGAUCUCACGUGCAAUUGGAACAACGGUGUGCUCGGAAAAAAGGCCAAUGGUGGAAAUAAUGUUUUCCAGAACCAUUCUCUCUCCCCUUUUCCUCUGAUUUUCUUCUUUUCCUUUCUCUCUUUUGGUCGUAGGUUGGUUACAAAAUAACGCCAGAAGUAGGAAAUCAAAGGACGAACCUCACUGUUAAAUGACAAAGGUCCAAGAUGAUCUGAGCAUGGCAAUUGCUUCCCUAAUACUGCAGGUGUUGUUAACUACACAAGCAACACAAACAAGAUAAUAAUAAAGAUUCCAUCGAAAGUACUACUAGCAACAUUAGUCAAUAAAAAUCAGCACUACAAGGAAACAAGACAAAGAAAUAAAGUUAAAUAUAUUUAAAUCAAUACUUUUUUAUUUUAUUUUAUUCAGGGAGUCUUUCGAAUAAUAAUGAUUUUUUUUGGUUAUAUGUUUAAUUUUUUAAGAAAUUUUUUAUUUAUUUAUAUUUUUUUUGUAUAAAUAAAUUAUAUUUUUUUAAAUAAAAAAUAUUUAUUUUUAGAUAAUAUUUCUAAUAUGUGUAGGUUUAUAUAUUAUUUUUAUUUUAUUUAAUCAAUUAAAUGUGUUUAUCUAUUUUUAUUAUCGUUUAAUUAAAUAAAAAAAAUUUAAUUAAUCGGGUAAAUAUCAUGUCUUGCGAGAUUUAAUAUCUUGAUCUAUAAUUAUUUUUUUAUUUUUUAAAUUUUAUUUUUAAGUAUUAUAAAUUUUUUAUUUACAUUUAAAUUUUUUAAAAUACAAAAAUACAUUAAAAAAAACUAUAUAUAUAAUUGUUUUCAUGAAAAUAAAAAUAUAUACACCGCAGGUUGUUUAAGAAAAUUCAAUAAUGGAUGUGCUAUUGUGUAGUGAAAAUGAUCAGUGACAGAGUCCACUACUUAAACGUUGUUUUUUUUUUUUUUUUUUUCCUGUUUGCAUCGCUCAUGAAAACAAUAUCUUUCUCUCCUCUUUAAAAAUAAUUGACAGGGUCAACUUAAUUAGAAAAAUAAAAAAAGUAUAAAUUAUAAAUUUUUUUAAUAAAAAUUUUAAAAUAGAAUUUUUAAUAAGAUUUAUGAAAAACCAUAUUAUAUAUUUAUUAACCAAACACUUACCUAUAAUUAAGUAAAACAUAAACUACAUAUAUAUAUAUAAUUAACUAAAAAGAUCUUAAAAAUAGUUUUAUAACCUUAAUAAAUUAAUUUUUCCCCUAAAAAAAUCCUUUUUUUUAUCAAGAAAAAUACUUUAAUAUCAAUAUUUUAACAUGAUCUUGCUAAUAAAUAUUCUUUCACUCCUCCAUUUAUUUUUGAUGAUUUUCUUCCUUUUCUUUUGAAUUUAGAGAUUGAAAAAAUCGUGGGUUUAAAGUGUGAUGAACUAAUGCUGACAUUCCUACACUGCCAUUGAAGCUCAGCAUUCUCGUGGUAUGUAGGUGUGUUGAAACAAAUUUCCUUCGCUAUCUUGCAAACCAUGUCUGUUAAAGUUGGAAUGUGAAAACCUGCGUAGUUGCAAUUAUGUAGCAAUUGAGGAAUGAAAUCAUCCACCUUUUAUAUUAUGACAUGUUUUUCAAACUAUUAAAAUCAUCCAAGCAAGAAGGUUAGGAUAUUAAUAAAUAAUGGAAUAUUAGAAGGUAGAUUGUAUUUAUUAAUAAAUCACUAUGGAUGAAUUGAUUAAUUGACUAAUUGACUUUGCUAGCUCUAAGUCGUAGUUUAGUUGUGACUUGGACUUUUAGAUUGUGCCUGUAUGAUCUUGUAAUAGGAUAUGAGAUUAUACAUUUACGAUGUUAAUAUGUUACUUGUAAAGAUAAUUUUUAUGUAGAUUUGAUGUAUCGAUUUAUUAAUAGUCUUGGUCAAUAAAGAUAAGAGACAAAUAACAAUUUCAAUCUUCUUAGCCGGUGAUUGGGAGUCUUCAUGCUUUUUGUUAGUUUGGUUUAUGGAUUAAUUAGUAGAUUAAGUUUAUACAAUAAUUUGUUAAGUGUUAUGAACUCAUAAUUUGACCUAAAGUAGUUGGUGAUAAUAAGGUAAUUGUUGUAUUUAUUGAGAUUGACUUGUUUAGAUCUUGCAUGUAUUAUAUUGAGUUAUAAAAGAUUAUGACAAGCUCAAUUUGAUUAAUGUUGGCCAUUAAAGAUGGGUAAAAGAAAUCUGGGUGUCUUAUCUCUCUAAUGUUUUAAAGGUAUUGAAAAAUUUCAGAAGUUUUCAACUAUACAUGCCUUUUAGUUCCUUACUAGUUACAUGCCGCGCGAUGCCGCGGGUCAUAUUUUUUUGCAUAAAAAAUAAAAAAAAAACUAAGAUUUAAAAGUGUUAGGUCUUUCUGCAAAGCUAUAUCCAAAAGUCUUGGGUUUGGCUGCAACGACUGACCUAAGAGUAAUAUUUAUAAUAUUAAUAAUAACAUUAAACUUGCAUGAUCCAAGUUUAAGUGGGUGUGACUGCAAUACCAGAUCCGAUAGCCUUGUAUGUAGGUCUGGCUGCAAGGUCGUGUCAUAAAAGUGUGAUAAUUAAAUAGAUUAAUUAAAAAGAAAAAAACAAAGAAAAAAACCAACAGAAAGAAAAAAACUAAUGAAGAAAAAGUAAAAAAUAUGAAUUAACUGGGUUAACCCUUCAAACCAGGUUAACCCGUCAAAUCUGGAAUUCGCGUCAUGAAAGUUUGAUAACUAAAUAGAAAAAAAAAUUAACGGAUUUACCUAGAAUUAACUGUGUUAACCCAUCAAACCAAGUUAACCCGUCAAACCAGGAUACAUGUCAUGAAAGUCUGAUAAUUAAAUAGAAAGAAAUUUAACAUCAAUAAACUAAACUAAACAAAAAAAAUUGAUUAAAAUUAAAAAAAAAAUCUGGGUUAACUUGUCAAAUCAGGUUAACCUAUCAAACCCAGAAUCCGUAUCAUGAAAGUCUGAUAACUAAAAAAAAAAAACAUUAACAAACUAAAUCAAACAAAAAAAUUCAUUAAUAAAAACAAAAAAAAAAUUAUAAACAAAAAAGGAAGAAAACAGCUAAGUAAUAUAAUAUAAUAUAAUAUAAUAUAUUAAUAAUAAGUUAAGUGAAAGCCGUGAAAAAAAAAAAAUCUUUUAAUCACUUAUGCAUAGAAGGCGUGAGAAAGCUACAAUAUUUUCCCACGUCUUUUAAAGUAUUACUUAAUUAAUAAAGGAAUAGAAAAAGGCAUCAAGUAUACAUUUGGAAAUGGCAUUUUGAGGUGUCAUUUUCACUAUUGAUAUUUCUUAAAUAUUGACUAUGACGAAUUCCUGUUGGCCUGUAGUGUUGAUAUAUUCUAUAUCAUCAUGUAUAUGUCAGUAGGUAUGCUAACAUGGCAUCAAUAAUUCAAACAUGUUGAUUGUGAUAUUGAUAUUUAUGCUGACAUAAUUAAGCAAAGACUUUUUUGGUUUUCUUAUUAGAAUAUGGUUAAAAUAUGUUUUAGUCUUAGAAAAGAUUAAAAAAAAAAAAAAACAAGGCAUGUGUUCCUUCACACUAGUUUUUUUUUUUUUUUUUAAUUCUCAAUCUCAUGGAGGGUGUUAUGGUAUUUUAAAGUUGAAAAAAUAUUUUUUAUUCGAAAAAAGUGUCUGCUACACAAGCAAAUGGAUGACACAUGAGAUGUCAUUUGAUGGCCAAACACGACACCUUUCAUCAUGUUAUUGGAAGUGUUACCAUGUCCUCUUCCUAUUAAUGUGACGCGUGGCGGCGGAUGAUAGAUGAUUUGUCGCCAGUUAUCAUUUUUUUCUUCUUCUUUCUUUUCUCUAUGUUCUAGAGAAAGUACAUGUAUGUCCUCUUUUCUUUUGAUUUUUUAAUUUUAGUCCUUAUGUUUUCUUAUUGCAUAUUUCCGUCAUUGACUCUUUUAUAAAAUUUUUUAUGUUUUUAAUUUAGUCCUUAAAUUACAAUUUGUUAUUUUUUUUUUUUCAAUUCGGUCUUUAUUGUUUUCAUUGGCUCUUUUGUUAAAGUUUUAUUGGGUUUCAAUUUCAUCAUUCAAUCAAAGUUUAUGUUGUUUUAUUUUUUUUCGAUUUAGCCCUCAUUCUUUUGAUUUAUUUUUCCUUAUGUUAAAUUAUCUUUCUUUUCAAUUUAAACCUCCAAUUUAAUUUUUUUAUGCUCUCUAAUUUAUUUUUGUAUUUCUAUUUUCACAUUCAUUCUUUUAAUUAUAAUUUUUUGUGUGAUUGAUUUUUUUUCGAUUUCAUCCUUUAGCGUUUAAUUUUUUAGGUAUUGAGUUUUAUGGUUUUUCCAUUUGAACUCUUUCUAUGUAAUGACACGGGUAAUGAAUUUGAAAAGUUGAUGCAGUUCAACAUUCUUUUUUUCUCAUUUUAUUUUAUAAUUUUAUCAUUCUACAUUAUUUUUGUUAAAAAAAAAGAUUAGUUUUGUGGUUAUUUUUAAUUUUUUUUCUAUUAGUUUAUCCCGGUCUCAUUCCUUAGGCCAUGGGUUUUGCAGGAACUUUUUAUAGAGUUUUUUUUAAAAAAACACAAAUUGAUUUGUUCGUAUUUAAUUUUUGAAGAUUUUUUUAUUUUAUAUAGGUUUACUUUAUUUUAUAUAAAAAAAAAUAUUUCUUUUAAAAUAAUAUUCCUAAUAUGUUUGGCAUUGUCUAAUAUUUAUUUUAUUUUAUUCAAUUAGUUUCAUAUGUAAUUCUAUUUCUAUUAUAUUUUAUGAUUGUAAUAAAUAAAUUUAAUAAAUACAAACGAGUAAAUAUCUCAUUUUACAUAAUCAAAUAUCAUGAUCUACAUUCAUUUCUCAAUCUUUUUAGUCUUCUUUUAGUUAUUGUUAAUGACUAUUUUUUUGUUUAUUUACAUGAAUGAUUAUCGAUUUAAUUUAUUAUAUGUUUACAUAAGCUUUUCGCUUUAUGCUUUGAACUUUUUAAUAUAAAAAACAUAUCAAAAUAGCUUGUAGAUCCAUUUAAAAAAAAACAUUAUGAUAUGCAGCAAAGUGCUAGUUAAAUAACUAUUACCAACAAUGUUUUGUGAGAUGACAUACAAUAAUACCACCAUCCUAAUUAUUAUUUUUUUGUAAUUUUCUUAUUCAAUUGGAUUUUAUUUUUUGGGUUUUUUUUUUCAAUCAAUUUUUCCUCAUAUCAUUGGCUCAUUAAUAAUGGAUGCACAAAUCACAUGACUUUUGACAAGAGUCUUUUCAAAACAUUGCAACCUAUAAGAAUUACAAAGGUUUGAAUUGGGAAUGAUAAUUAUAUAACAUCAAAGGGAAAAUGAACCAUUGCAAUCUCAACAAAUUUAGGUAUAAAAACAAUUUCAGCUGUAUUUUAUGUACCUGAUAUAAAUCAGAAUUUGCUAAGUGUUUGAUAACUAAUAGAAAAAGGAAUGAAGGUGACUUUUAAAGAUAAAUCCUAUCAUAUUUUUUAUAUUACUAGACAUAAGAUAUUGCAGGCUAAGAUGAGAGGUAAAAGUUUCUCAUUCUUACCAUACGAGGAGGAGCAUAUAACUUUCUCAACAAAUAUUAACAACACAAAAGUAUGGCAUAAAAGACUGGGAAAUUAUCAUCUUUAAUGCACGCACAAUAUGAAGAAGAAUGAUGUUGUGAAAUGUCUGCCAUUGCAUAUUGAUCAAUUAUCAAACUAUCAAGCAUGUCAGUUUAGUAAGCAAAACAGGAAGCCAUUUCCUAAAUUGACAUGAAGAUCUACAUAAAAACUCCAAUUGAUCUAUAUUAAUGUGGGAGGCCUUCAGAAAACAUCUUCAUUAAAAGGUAGUUGCUACUAUAUUUUUUUUAUUGAUGAUUUUACUAGAAUGUGUUGGGUUUUGUUCAUGAAAUACAAGUCAAAAAUGGUUGGAAUCUUUUAGAGAUUCAAAAAGAAUAUGGAGAAUCAAAGUGGAUGCAAAAUUCAAGCUAUAAAAUUUGACAAUGAGAAGGAAUACAUUUCAUCAGAAUUCAAGCUGUAAAGAUGUUGUCAUUAAGCAUCAACUUAAGGCUCUUUACACUCUAGAGAAAAAUAGAGUCAAUGAGAGAAGAAACAGAUACAUAAUGAAGAUGAUCAGAUACAUGCUACAUGAGAAGGGAUUGUCUAACGAAUUUUGGGCAAAAACAGCUAAUAUGACUAUCUUUCUUCAAAAUCAUCUUCCAAUCAAAUUUUUGGAAGAAAAAACACCAUUUAAAUCUUGGUAUGAUUACAAAUCUUCACUAAACUUUCUUAAAUUUUUUGGCAGUAUAUGUUUUGUUCAUGUUCCACAGGUCAAGCAGGAUAAGCUUGACAAAAAGACAAUUUCAAGAAUCAUUGUAGGUUAUAGUUUAGUUUCUAAAGCCUACAAAAUAUAUCUUCAAACACAGAAGAUGAUCAUUACAAGAGACCAUGAAGAUGAACAAUGGGAUUAAAAGGAUUCACAAAACAACAAGCUAUUUGAAGAUCAAGAUAAAUCUCAGUGGCAAGAUGAUCUAGUUGAUGAUUCAUCAAUAAGAGGAACAAAGUCUUUUUCAGACAUUUAUCAGAGGAGAAAUGUAGCAGGUUGUGAACCAGAUGGAAAUGAAGAAGCUCUCAUAAACUCUAAAUGGAAAAAAACAAUGGAGUAGGAGAUAUCAAUAAUUCAGAAAAACAGGAAUUGGUUGACUGACCCUAGACAAAAAUAUCAUUAGAGUAAAGUGGGUGUUUAGAACUAAACUAAAUGCAGAAAAUUCCAUCAAUAAACAUAAGACCAUACUGACAGUUAAGAGAUAUGCUUAGAUAUUUGGUGUUGAUUAUUCAAAUACUUUUUCUCCUGUUGCAAGAAUGGACACCAUCAGAUUAUUAUUGUUGUUACUGCAUAAAAGUACUGGAAAGUGUUUCAGUUAAAUGUUCAGUCAACAUUCUUAAAUAGUGUUUUAUAGGAGGAGAUUUAUGUUGAACAACCAACUGAAUUUAUCAUUCAAGGAAAAGAAGAUAAAGUCUACCUGCUAAAGAAAGCUCUAUAUGGAUUAAAGCAAGUACCUAAAGCGUGGUAUAGCAAUAUUAAUGAUUAUCUGCUAAGAUUUGAUUUUCAGAAAAACUUAUCCGAGGCAAAUCUCUAUGUAAGGAGGAAGACUAACAGUGAUAUUCUUAUAAUAUCACUCUAUAUUGAUGACCUUCUAGUGAUAGGAAGCAAUGGACAACAAGUUGAAGAAUUCAAGUAGAAGAUGAUGCAAGCUUUUGAAAUGACUGAUCUUGGUCUCAUGACAUAUUUUCUUGGAAUGGAAAUCAAGUAAAGUAAGAAUAAAAUAUUUAUCUGCCUGAAGAAGUAUGCAAAGGAAAUUUUGAAGCAAUUUUAUAUAAAGAAUUGAAUUGCAAACCAAUAGCUACUCCAAUGAAUUAAAAGGAAAAAUUCAGCAAAGAAGAUGAAACUAAAAGAGUUGAUAAAACUAAACCUGAUAAACUCUAUGCUACAAGUCUUUUAUCUCAUUUCAUACACUGUCCAAGUGAAAUGCAUUUAAGAGCAGCCAAACAAAUUCUAAGAUACAUCAAAAGAACUGUCAGCUUUGGUGUUCGGUUUUAGAGGAGUCAAAACUUAAAGCUGCAUGGUUUUACAGUGAUUAAGGAGGAUUUAUUGAUGACAUGAAAAGCACUUCUGGAUUCUAUUUUAGAUUAGGAUCAAGAAUGUUUUCAUGGUCAUCAAAUAAGCAGGACAUUGUAGCACAAUCCACUGCAGAAACUGAAUUUAUUGCAGCAACAACAACAAUGAAUCAGGUAUUAUGGCUUAAAAAGUUUUUAUGUGAUUUGUACUUGGAGCAUAAGGAAAUUAUAGAGAUCUCAGUGGAUAAUCAAGAAGCCAUAACAAUUUCUCACAAUCCAUUGUUUCAUGGAAAAACCAAACAUUUUAAUAUUGAACUCUAUUUUUUACAAGAGGUGCAAACAUUAGGAGGUUAUGUUAAUUUACUGUAAGUAUGAAGAUCAGCUAGUAGACUUGUUUAUAAAACCACUUCCAGUAAGCAAGUUUGAGCUCCUAAGAUAGAAGAUCGAAAUUUGCAGUUUCUAAAAUAAGGAGUGUUGAAGAUUGUUUCAGGAUUGUUAUAAGUCCACAUUACCUUUUUGUUAUGUUAGUUUUAGUUUCUUAUGUUUCCACCAAAUAAAAGAUUGUCCUAUGGAAGAGUUAUUAGUUUGUUAGCAGAUCAUAACAUGACUUUUGCUAUUCGUUAGCAAUCAAUUAUACUCUGCCUACAAUACACUAGUAAUUCUUCUUCUUGCAGUCUUUUAAUCUCUUCUGAUUUCUUUCUUUACUUGAAAACUAUCAAGAGUGAUUCAAUAUACAUGGUUUAUGGCAACAAAAAAUUGCAAAAUUAUUCACCAUUUCGAUAGUAAAUCCCAAACAACUCAACUGCUCAAGCAAAUAAGCUUCGAAUCUUACCCCAAUACUCAUUGGAAUUGUUGGCUCUAUUAUCAGCUUCAUUUUGUUGUCUCAAAGCUUCUGGAAGAGCUUUCAUGUGCGUUUCUAGUUCAGCUUUCCAACUGAUCAGCUGUGUACGGAGAUCGUCUGCAUCUUCUCGGAUGUGAAUUUCUUCUUCCGCAAUCUCAUCAAGUCUCUUUUUCAAUGCUUCCCUCUCUGCAGCAAGACUGCUUGCAUUGUGGAUAAGAUCUCCGUAAUGGUUCUUGAGGUCAGAAAUUCCUUUUUUCUUAUCUUCAAUGGAAUAUUUCAGUGCACUUGUCCUAUCAAUUUGGUGCUCGUACAAUGGGUAGUUGGACACUAGACUAUCAAAAUUGUCAAUGUAAGCUUGAAUGAUUUCUAACUGCUGAGAAUUUAGGAGAUCGCUUUUCUUUAGAUUCUUCAUUGUAGCUAGCAACAGGAGGCCAUCAGGUGAUCUUGCUACUUCCGUCAGGGGUUUCAAUAAGAUUUUCUUUAUCAAACCCUUAGAGUAGACAUGACUCUCGGGGCUCCCAACAUCAGACUCAUAAGAUUCAGCAUGUGUAUUUGCACUUGAUUCAGGCUGCGAAGAAGACACAGGACAUGGUCUGACCAAUUGUUCCAUGGUAGCAAAUAGAGACUCGAUUCCUGUAAUUGUUUCUGAAGUUUCUCUCGAGGAAGUGUGAGAUGCGAGCUUCUGAGUGGAGGUUUCAUUGGUUGAAGAUGCAGAAGUUGAUGCAAGAGAUUGUUCUCCAGCACUGGGAGGAGAUACAAGAACAAUGCUUUUUUGCUGACUUGAAGAAGCAGUCAUAAAUUGGUCUUGCGGGAAUUCCUUCU